GGGCUCCUGUGCUGGCCAAGGGGGAGGGUGGAUGUCUGUGUUCCUUUCCCUGAUGGAUUGCAAGGCUUCAGCUCCCGGAAUUUUAAGGACCUCUUUCUGUGCUGACAGCUCCAAGACAGAGUUCUUGUGAAUGAUGUCAUCCAUCACGAAACCUCUCCAAUCACCUUUGUAUGGAAAUGUAUAGAGCUUAGGAACUAGCCAUGUAAACAAUUGCCUUGUACAUAUAGAGGCAACACCACAGGAAAUGCUUUUCCAAAGAAAAUGAUAGAAUGUGUUUCACAUUACUGUAGGAACUUCAAAUGUGCUGCUGACUUGUCACUUAGAAAUGAAGAGAAAAUAAAAGUAUUUGUUUGAUACUGGUCUA